GACGGAGGGUGCAAGCGUUGUUCGGAAUUACUGGGCGUAAAGGGCGCGUAGGCGGUCUGCUAAGUUCGGUGUGAAAUCCCCCGGCUCAACUGGGGAACUGCGCCGGAAACUGGCAGACUAGAGUACCGGAGAGGAGGGUGGAAUUCCUGGUGUAGCGGUGAAAUGCGCAGAUAUCAGGAGGAACACCGGUGGCGAAGGCGGGUCUCUGGGCCGAUACUGACGCUGAGGAGCGAAAGCGUGGGGAGCGAACAGG
rnacentral:rRNA from 1 species